AGUGAACGCUGGCGGUAGGCCUAACACAUGCAAGUCGAACGGCAGCACAGUAAGAGCUUGCUCUUACGGGUGGCGAGUGGCGGACGGGUGAGGAAUACAUCGGAACCUACUUUUUCGUGGGGGAUAACGUAGGGAAACUUACGCUAAUACCGCAUACGACCUACGGGUGAAAGCAGGGGAUCUUCGGACCUUGCGCGAUUGAAUGAGCCGAUGUCGGAUUAGCUAGUUGGCGGGGUAAAGGCCCACCAAGGCGACGAUCCGUAGCUGGUCUGAGAGGAUGAUCAGCCACACUGGAGCUGAGACACGGUCCAGACUCCUACGGGAGGCAGCAGUGGGGAAUAUUGGACAAUGGGCGCAAGCCUGAUCCAGCCAUACCGCGUGGGUGAAGAAGGCCUUCGGGUUGUAAAGCCCUUUUGUUGGGAAAGAAAAGCAGCAGGUUAAUACCCCGCUGUUCUGACGGUACCCAAAGAAUAAGCACCGGCUAACUUCGUG
rnacentral:rRNA from 1 species